UACCAGCACCCCGAGUGGUCGGGACGAUUAUUGGGCCUAAAGCAUCCGUAGCCGGUCAUGCAAGUCCUCCGUUAAAUCCACCUGCUUAACAGAUGGGCUGCGGAGGAUACUACAAGGCUAGGAGGCGGAAGAGGCAAGCGGUACUCAGUGGGUAGGAGUAAAAUCCUCUGAUCCAUUGAAGACCACCAGUGGCGAAGGCGGCUUGCCAAUACGCGCUCGACGGUGAGGGAUGAAAGCUGGGGGAGCAAACCGG
rnacentral:rRNA from 1 species